rnacentral:lncRNA from 1 species
UUUGAGUUCCUGACAAAGCUAUCAAUUCAACAUAAACUUCACCGGUCUUUGCUUUUCAUGUCACUGGUCUUUGCUGAUUACAGUGAGUAAAUUAAAUUCACAAAAAUAAAGUUUAUUGAAGUAGAGAAAUAACUAGUCACAGUUCAGAUAUUGAAAAGAUUUAAUUGUUCAUAAUAGUAUAGUACCUACGCGAACAAGGCCAGAACACCAAGUUCAAAGCAUUUAUACACCAAGUACAUGCAUUUCAAAUAGGCAAAAUAAAAUGAAAGACUCAGCACAUUGAUGCUGCAUGACAUAUGGUGUCUAAGUACCUUCUACACGCUUAUGGGUCAAGAUUUUCUGAAAGUUUAGAGCAAUGAAAUCAUCCUCCAAAGAUAAUAUCAUAUAUUUUUUAGAAGCCACAAACAAAUAAAUUUUACAAAUUUCACAAGCCAAGGCAAAGCCAUGUGGAAUGCAAGGCAGGAUGCAUUAUUAGUACAAGUCUUAAAGUGAAAGCAUUAGGUAGAAGAUAGUAGACGAGAAAUGAAACCAUUGAUCCCAGUAUGGGUGAAAUCACCCAUGAUGAAGUCACCCUCGCAAGUGAACUCGAAAAGACAGCACUAUGUCACGGGAUGAAUGUUUUCCGCAAUGAAUCCGUGCGACACUUAGACAACUCUUGCUGAAAGUUGCUAAAUAAGCCUUUGAGCUUCUCGACUAGCUAAGCCUGGAGGUUUUCAAAAGAGUUAGAGAGAAGAGAGCAAUGGAGCCGAAAAAGAAAAUUUGUAUUAUUCGCAAAGUGUUUACAAGAGAGCUUAAAAGAGUGCUUGAGUUGCUUGCUCUUAGCUUGAUGCUCAAAUGUCAAAUGACAUGCCCUAUUUAUAGGAAGACUUGCCAAACUCUAGAGUUCUAGAGAAUUCUACCAACUUGCCUAAAUAUCUAGAUAUUUACAUGUGAUAGGGAUGUGUAGAAAAUUCUAAAUAUGUACAAGCUUGAGAUGUGUUAGAGUUUGCUAGAAAAUUCUAGAAUCGGGCCAAGCUAGUACUAUUGACUUAUGUUUGAGCUCUUAUCCUAAAAUUAUGGGCACUUGGGCUAGCAACUUGGGCGGUCUGCAACAACUAGCUCCCCAUAAAAAGACCAAAUCCAACCAUUGAUUUUACUAAAUAGUGUGGUGGAGACAGGGCGACCAUCAACUUGAAAAAUACAAGAUACUAUUAGUGGAUAAAAACAUAACAAAUAAAUAUAAAGGAGAACAACUACCCCUCAAUGAUAGAGCGAUAAAAAAAAAAAAAAAAAAAAAAAAAAAAAAAAAAAAAAAAAAAAAAAAAAAAAGAGAAGUUAUUUUAGACUUAAACAUAAGCUACUUAUAAAUUACGUUUGGUAUUGAGGUGGUGUAAAUUUAAGAGCAAAAUUGGCAUUAAAAAAAGUUAUAAUUAUGAAAUAAAAGUUAAUAAAAUGUUGUAAAUAAAAUUUUUAAUAAUAAUUUUGACAAAUUAAAUAUAUAAUAGAUUUUUCAUCAUAUACGUGUAAAAUCAAAUUAAAUUAUCUUCCAAGGUAUAACAGUUAGUGUUUACCAAAUAUUUGAAAACUAUAGUUUUACAACUGCCAAAUUUCAAUCCCAAACAUGAUGUAUAAUACCUAAUGGACACAAUAAUUUUCAAAUAGCAUUAAAUAAUCGUUAAAAGUCUCAAAGUUGGAUUUUAAGUCAUGGGGCAUCCUUCAUUUGCAAAAGAUACAUAUUUGGUUGGUGCACAAAUUCUUCCAUAAAGUUUAUUCAUACAUAGCCAAACGCAUCCCCUGCUUAACUGAAUUGCUGCAUGCUCAAUUAAAUUUCUAUUAAAAGGCUCCCAAUCCCAAAGAAAUCCGCAAUAUCAUAAUUAAUAUUAAAAUAUUAAUUAACAGGAAGCUCAAAUAAUGUUCUUGCAACCAAGUACCAGCUGCAGCCAAAGAAAAGAGCAAGCCAGCAAAAAAAAACUUCUCCUGAAAUACAUAGCAUCGAGGAUUCCCUUAUGCAUCGUAUUGGUAACAUGGGUUCUUGUAACAUCCCAGUUUGAAUUUCAAAGGCAAAUAUGUCUACAACUCACAUAUGAAUUUAAAUAACUCUUUACAAACAAUAAAAUUCGAGCCUCAAAUAUAAAAGCCAGCGGAAUAACUUAAAAAUUUAGCCAAACAAUCUACCAUCCUCAAUUCAAAUCCAUCUUCUUACUCAUCACGAAUCAAUCCUGACUUCUGAAAACUGAAUCACAAUAAACUAUAACGAGUACAAAACUCAGUAAGCAAACUAGUUUUUCUUAUACUAAAAUACAUACAUACUUAUACAUAAUGCAGAUGGAUAAUAUGUCAUGAUCUUUUGGAAAUAUUGUAAAACAAAUUCAUCAAAAUCUCUUUCUGUCACUUUCAAACUUCCAUAUUUUCUUUCAAUAAAAUACAUAUUCUGCAAUUGUGGCACUUUGCGUCGCUCUGACUCUUAAGAGGUGGCCUCCGCAUAGUCUCAAGAGGUGGCCCCCACACAACUUCAAGAGGUGGCCCCCAAUAUAAAAUCUCAUAAAACAGAAAUCUCAUUUGCUAAAAUCCAUUUUCUCAUUCAUAGAAAACUCAUUGCAUUUUCGUACUUAUGCCAAUGAAAUUUCACACAUACAUAUACCCAUGUACGUAAUCACGCCCAGCACAUAACAACACAUCACAUAAACACAUGAGCAGAGACAUAUAAAUCCAUAAUCGUACAUGUAAAAAAUAGGCUAUUCACACAAGUCAAACAUAUAUAUUGUUUAUUGUGAUUCAUUUAAAAGUCUAUUUAACUUACCUCUUGGCAUCCUCAUGCAACAAAUGCGUACUGAUAUCAUCAACCUAAAAUCAUCAAUAAAUUUCUUAGAAAAUAUAAUCAAGUCUCAAUAAUAAACUCUAAUGUCCUCAGCUAUCUCAAUUUAAACAUCUCAUAAGCUCAACCUCAAAUGUCCUCAAUAAUCGGCCCUCAAAACAUAACAGUCCAUAUUCUCCGAUUUUUUAAUAAAUUAUUCCCUCAUUGGAAAACUCUCAAAUUUUACAGACCAUAUGCUGACAUAUUGAAAGUUCACUGAUAAAAAUUUCAUAACUUGAUUCCUUCAAAAACUAUUGAAAAUAAUUGACGUUUCAGACAUCAUCAAUGCUGUCAAACAGUUUUCUGUUUUGCACACACUUGCUUUAAAAAUACAAAAAAAAUUAUUUCUUUAUCAUAAAAUCAUGAAAAUUUACAGACUCAUACUAGACAUAUGUAAAAAUCUCUGAUCCAAAUUUCAUAAUUUUUGAAGAAGUCUAGCUAUGGUAAAAAUUGUUUCGUAAUUCACGUUAUGCACUGAAAUCAUAAAUUUUCAGGUUUUCAGACUUGAAUUUGGGUGGCCCCCACACAACUUCAAGAGGUGGCCCCCAAUAUAAAAUCUCAUAAAACAGAAAUCUCAUUUGCUAAAAUCCAUUUUCUCAUUCAUAGAAAACUCAUUGCAUUUUCGUACUUAUGCCAAUGAAAUUUCACACAUACAUAUACCCAUGUACGUAAUCACGCCCAGCACAUAACAACACAUCACAUAAACACAUGAGCAGAGACAUAUAAAUCCAUAAUCGUACAUGUAAAAAAUAGGCUAUUCACACAAGUCAAACAUAUAUAUUGUUUAUUGUGAUUCAUUUAAAAGUCUAUUUAACUUACCUCUUGGCAUCCUCAUGCAACAAAUGCGUACUGAUAUCAUCAACCUAAAAUCAUCAAUAAAUUUCUUAGAAAAUAUAAUCAAGUCUCAAUAAUAAACUCUAAUGUCCUCAGCUAUCUCAAUUUAAACAUCUCAUAAGCUCAACCUCAAAUGUCCUCAAUAAUCGGCCCUCAAAACAUAACAGUCCAUAUUCUCCGAUUUUUUAAUAAAUUAUUCCCUCAUUGGAAAACUCUCAAAUUUUACAGACCAUAUGCUGACAUAUUGAAAGUUCACUGAUAAAAAUUUCAUAACUUGAUUCCUUCAAAAACUAUUGAAAAUAAUUGACGUUUCAGACAUCAUCAAUGCUGUCAAACAGUUUUCUGUUUUGCACACACUUGCUUUAAAAAUACAAAAAAAAUUAUUUCUUUAUCAUAAAAUCAUGAAAAUUUACAGACUCAUACUAGACAUAUGUAAAAAUCUCUGAUCCAAAUUUCAUAAUUUUUGAAGAAGUCUAGCUAUGGUAAAAAUUGUUUCGUAAUUCACGUUAUGCACUGAAAUCAUAAAUUUUCAGGUUUUCAGACUUGAAUUUGAAAAAUCAUAACUAAUUGAAAUCUUAUCCGAUUAACUUGAAACAAGUUUCAAAACAUUCUAGAUGAUGUCUAGUUUAACAUAUCCAAAUAUCAGAAUCAAAAUCAAUUUGUAAAAAUUACUAAGAUUUUCGUAAUAAUUCACUGUGAGCAUAUUUAUGCAAAAUCUUAAGUUUCUACUUCUAUUGCAAUCAUGCUUCUCCAUAACGAAUUAAUAAAUAAAACCAAGAAUUAAAACUUACCUCCAAAUCCAAAUCUUUUCUCAACAAUACCCAAUUCAAAUUAUGCAACUUGAUCUCAUGUGUUGCCCAUGACAGAAUAAAGAAGAAGAUUUUCUUCUUUUCUUUUCUCUCUUUUCUUUUCUCUCUUUUCUCUCCAUCUCUCUCUCUCAUUUUUCCUAUUGUUUUUUUUUUCUCAACCGAUCUCUCUUUCCCUCUCUCUUAUAAUGAGAAAGACAUACUAUUCUAUUUAUACUAGGGUAAAAAAUAGAUCACUAAAAUUAAAAGAUUUAAAUACCCUUAGGAGAAUUGGGGUAUUACAGUUCCCAUCAAUAACUAUCCUGAAAACUUCAGCACAGCUGUAGUCAAACAGCUACUGCCUAUUGUCACGGCCCGCUUGUUCCCAAGUUGUGCCGUGCGGCCUUAGGCGCCAAAUCACACUCUCUUAACCCUAAGUUAGCCUUGCACACUCCGAACGUUGCUGGAUUCAAAAGUCGAAAUGAGUAUUCACACAAACUCACUCAAGAUAGGAGGAAAGAACUUUUAUUGCUCAAAAAAAGCUUACAAUGCUUUGUGUGCUGGAACUUGUGUGUUUCUAGUGUGUCUUGAACCAAACGAUG